rnacentral:rRNA from 1 species
GAUGAACGCUGGCGGCGUGCCUAAUACAUGCAAGUCGAGCGACCAGACGAGGAGCUUGCUCCUUCGACGUUAGCGGCGGACGGGUGAGUAACACGUAGGUCACCUACCUAUAAGACUGGGAUAACUUCGGGAAACCGCUGCUACUACCGGAUCAUAUUUCGAACCGCAUGGUUCGAUAGUGCAUGAUGGCUUUGCUAUCACUUAUAGAUGGUCCUGCGCCGUAUUAGCUAGUUGGUAAGGUAACGGCUUACCAAGGCAACGAUACGUAGCCGACCUGAGAGGGUGAUCGGCCACCCUGGAACUGAGACACGGUCCAGACUCCUACGGGAGGCAGCAGUAGGGAAUCUUCCGCAAUGGGCGAAAGCCUGACGGAGCAACGCCGCGUGAGUGAUGAAGGUCUUCGGAUCGUAAAACUCUGUUAUUAGGGAAGAACAAACGUGGAAGUAACUGUGCACGUCUUGACGGUACCAAAUCAGAAAGCCACGGCUAACUACGUG